GGCCUCGUAGUUGAGCUGAUAAAAAUUACCUGUUACUACAAGGUGGGUGACGUCCACGCAUGGCUUCGAAUCCCGUCGGGGUUA
rnacentral:tRNA from 1 species